CCGACCCGAGGGAGCCCCGGCGUCACCCGAGCCCCGCGGACAGAGCGGCGGGGACCGACUCGGCUCUUCCCGUCCGGGUGCAAAGACCCGCUCCGCCUCGGCGAUGCCCCGGGGAACCGGUGCCGGGAAUGCUCCGCCGCGAGAGAUUUCCUGCUGGGCGACGAGGGGAAGCGCCCUCGAAAUCGGCGGCACCGCCCGAUUUUAACCCUUCGAAUGCUGCAGAAGGUGGCGAUUCCUGCAAUUUAACCCCAGAACCUGAGACAACGUGGGCUGUUUACCUCCAUUUAAACUGAUACAAUAGCAAAAAAGGACGCUUUGGAGGGACUAGGAAGAUGAAAUCAAAAGGAAAAAAGGAGAAAGAUCCCCCCUGCAAAUCCAGUUCCCCCCUGCAAAUCCAUGCACCGGUUCAUCUGCUCGGCUGCUGCUGCUUGACAGAGGUUCAAAGCAGAAGUAACUGCCUAGCGAAGAACCAUGGAAACUCAUCAGCUGCAGAGACGAGCAGACGGCCCAAAGAGCAGAAGAGCGAGCACGCCGAUGUGAACCGUAUCGAGACCGCAGUUGACGGCUGAACGCCUUUGAUCCCGCGUGCGAGAGCGAUGAACAUUGGGUUUCGUGUGAAAGAGUAGGAAAAUCGAUAUUGAAAAGCCUCAUUUGUUAAAGCGUGGUGUGAACUGUGUCAAGAUUCAGAAUCCUGCAUGAGAGAUAAAGUCCUUGAAGAUGAAGGUGAAUCAGGUAUCACCCUUGAGCUGUAUCAUUUUGUUGAUCGCUUUGUGAUGCGAUUUCACCUGCAUCGCUUCUUUUAGUUAACUCAAAAGAAAGUGUAUCUUAUCUCAGUGAAAAUAGAUUUUUGUAUAAUAUUCAAUUUUUCUUUUUAUUUAGCAUGUUCUAUAUAAAGAGGCAACAUCUUAUUGUAACCUUAUAUCAAUCUUAGUCACACUUGAUUGUGAAGAGUUUGACUCAUGAAAUUUCAGAUAGAUAUUUAUAACAACUCAGCUUUCAAUUCAAGUAGUUUCAGCAGAAACUUUAAAGCAAUUAGACAAAUUAAGCUACCGGUUAAGUUAGCAACCUAGAUCUAUUUCUCUAGCUUUGAGUGGUUAGUUAACGGAUGUUCAAAACUGGAGGCAGAGCGCUCUGUAGAACAGAGCAGCAGUUCUGUUGUUGGGGCAUAGGGCUUGAGAGAAGGAAAAAUAACCCUGAGUGAAAAUUAAUCAAAGAAAAGGUUUGGGUUGAUUUUUUUUUUUCUUUUUUUAAGGAGUGGGGCAAAUGUUGGAGUCUGGAAUACAGAGUGCGUACCCUUGUUUCUGAUACUUAGUUAUAAGAUCCAGAAAAACAUUGAAUUUCAUAUAAUGUGAAAUUCAUGACCAUGUUUUCAUGGUGAUACAUGAAAACAAAUGUUAAAGUUAGAUAGAAAAAGCUAAAAGUGUAAGGGUAUAGAUUAGAAAGUUUUUUUAAAUCACUGGGUGAAAAAGUUUAGAGAACAGGAGACGAGAUGGAGGAUUUAGGGGGUUGUCUCUUGUCCCUUUUUCUUUCUUCUUCAUGUUCUUCUCAGAGAGGUCAGAGAUGUUAAGAGAGACACCAGGGUUUCUGAUAAGCCCCCGGAAGGGAUAAGGCGAGGCACGUACGACACGAGAGGUACGAAAGGCACGGGAGGCACGGUAGAAAACUGACACGACACACCCCGGGAUUGCUCUGUCCUGCGCACCUCAGCACUGUGAGCCAAAGUGAGGCUUUCCCUUGAGGUGGCCUAAGGGGCCACAGCUUGGACCUCCACAUCUCCAAAGCUGACUCAAAACCCUUGGGCACGAGUGCUGACCUAGCACACCGCUUUCAUGCCCCUCUGUAGGUCUUGGACUUCGACUUAGCUCUCAUAUGCGUGGGGACGAGAAGCCACGUGGGGCACAAGGGAAGGCCGCCUCACCGUCUGGCACGUUUCUGGCAGGCUGUUGUCUCUUGGACAGGUACAAUAAAGAAAACCAAAUAUCAGUGCAAGAUCUUAGCAGCACAUCUGUGAAAACCCAACACUCACGGUCUCCUGACAAUGGCUGGGUCCUUCGCCUGCAUGCUUCAGCCCCGCUGGGAUGCUGAGGCUUGCGGAGCGAAACUCUUCGAGCGGUAUUGCUGUGGAUCCGAACGAACCGCCGCCUCGAUGAGAUUUGGGAGCCUCCCCGGUUGCGGAUGAACGGGGACCCCGGGGUGGGCCGGGGCUGGAAACCCCUGGUUAUCCCACACAAGCGGGACCUACGUGGCCACUAUCUCUUCUCAACUGGCCCUAGAACACGGUGUACUGCCUGCACCUCUCGGGGUUCUGGCACUCUGCUGCUUUAGGAUUCCUGCCUGCAGCUGCCUCAGGGAAAUGGGAGCGCUGUUAGGGCUGCUGUUUAUGGUUGGGGGUGGGGUACAACUGUAUUCUACCAUACCUGUACCCCUUAUUUUCACUGUUUGGCCAGCCUUUUUUUUUUUUUUGGAACUCUUGUGACAGAUUGAGGGCACUGAGGAGGGACUGCCAAGAUGGAAUCAAAAGGGAAAAGCAGAAAGAUCAGCCCUGCAAAUCCACACUGGCUCACCUGUUCAGCUGCUGUUUCCUGGCAAAAAGCUUUGUCCCUCACCACCUCCUCUGAGCAAUGCUCCAGGUCCAAGUGCAUCCUGGUGCUCCCCCAGACCCUAUGAGAUGCUCUCACCGUCAUGUUGGAGUCUGAGAUACAGACUGUGUGCCCUUGUUUUUAAUAUUUAGUUCUAGGAUUCAAGGAAACACUGAAUUUCAUAUAAUAUGAAAUUCAUGUGCAUGUUUUCAUGGUGACACAUGAAAACAAAUGUUAAAGUUAGAUAGGAAAAGUGUAAAUGUGUAGAUUAGAAAGUUUCUUAAAUCACUGGGUGAAAAAGUAGUUUAGAGAACAGGAGACAAGAUGGAGGAUUUAGGGUGUUGUCUCUUGUCCUUCUUCUUUCUUCUUCAUGUUCUUCUCCUAGGGGUGUUUUGGUAGUAGUAGGUGAUUGGGUAGAAAAUGUCAGAGUGCAGCACACAGGUGUUGGGUCAUUGGGUCACUAAGAAAAAUAAUUUAGUUGGCACCUGUUAAUUGGGUAAAUGGACAUAUAAAAGACCUUGAAGAAGAUCUUUGUUAGCCAUUUUACCCCUUUUCUAUCUUCAACAGCAGUCACCCAAAAAGGGAUUUAUCUCCUGAAAAGGAGUUUCUUCCUAAAUAUAAGUUUUUAGAGUUUUUUUCUCAGAUUCAAAAACAGCCCGGCGUGGACGGGCUUGAUAGCACACAGCAGCCAGAGACGCUGUCGCCAUGACAACCACCAGUGAAACAACUCAAGCAACUUCGAUGAAGCUACAGAAAGCAACAAAACAAAAGAGAAAGAACAGAAAGCUGGACAUCUCAGAGAGGGACAAAAAAGAGAGAGUUUUAAUUGGACAAUUCAAAAAUUAGAAGCUUUGCAAAUUGUAUUGUUAGUAAAUCAGCGAAUUGUUGUAAUCAUAAUUGAGUUUUAAAAAGAAGUUUCUAUUGAAUGAAGUGCCUUCAAAAAUAGAUCAAAAAGUUUAUAGAUAUUUUAUAGUGAAAUAUAUAUAUAGAUGUUGUAUUUCUAAUAAUAUCUGCUGGUUUUGUUUUUACAAAAUAGCAUGGAAAAUGAUAUCGUUACAUCCCAAGAAAUUUAAAAGAUUUUUAUUCUGUUUCAGUAUUCCUAAUACAUGAAGGUUUUGAAAAGGUUAUCUUUUCUAUACAUCUACUGAUAAUGUAAUACUGUAUCAUGUGGAGUGAUCAUCAAGCAUUAUUACUGUAGUUACAGUCAGUUUCUGCAAGAAGCAUUUCUUUAAAAUUGAGUUAAAAGAUCAUAUGAUUAACCCUACAGAAAAAGGAUUGAAUGACAAGUUUCUUUCAUUUUUAACCUUUCCUUUCAUUUGAGUAUGUGUAUUGUGGAGUUAGUUCAAUACAGUUUUCAGUAAUUUCAAAAUUAUAUUAACCAUAUAUUACCCAUUUGCUUGGUAUCUUUUAUAAUUAGGCAAUUUUAAUGUGAAUCCUUUUGUUAUAAAAAAAAACAUGUAUAACAGCAUAUAUAUCAAUUUGGAUUUUGAAUCUUAGUUAAAAAGUUAGACUUAAUGUUUCUGAAAAGUACUACAAAAGCUGAAUAGCAAAUUACCAAAUCUGUGGUGCUGUAUUUUUUUUCUAGUGAAACUGCAUUCUAAAAAUCCUAACAAAUGUAAACAUAUACCAAGCAAAUUCUUGUUAUGAAUUGGUAUUUUUAAUAACAUCUACAAUUAUUAUGAAUUGUUCUCAAAACCAGAUAACAUAGAAUGAUGAUAAAUUUGUUACAUCCCUAUAAUCUCUAUAGUGAACCAAUAUUCCUAUUAUAUUGUGUUCAAAGAAGUGUAUACCAAAUUUUUAGUUGCUUUUUUAGUAAUAAUAGAGUAAGAUUAAGUAAUAUUUUCAUCUGAUACAGAUUAAGUGUUAAUAGAUUUAAUCAAAGUUAAAUUUCACUAUGUUUAAGUUUGAGUGUUUUUAAGUUAAGUUAUAACUUUGGUAUUUUUUAAUGUUAAGUUUUGUUACUUCCUUUUAUCAUAAUUAAUUUCUAACAGGUUUAAAUUUAGAUUGCUUUAUGUUUUAUUGAAGAUGUUUGUUUAAAUUGCAAAGUAUAGUUAUUUUUCUAAAGAGAUGAAGAUGAACACCUGCUUGUGGACAGAAGUGAAUGCAGUCAGUGCCACCUUUGACUUCAUCGAGAGUUCUAUUGUUUGUUGUUAUAUUAUUAUUGUUAUAUUGUUAUAUUGUUGAUAUAUUGUUAUUGCUAUUGUUAUAGCUUUCUUAUUUUUCAGUGUUUUCAGAAUUUUAAGAAGAUAUACCAUUGCUAAGGGUCAGCUGCCAUGAGAGAAGCUUCAGAUGAAACCAACUGCUGCAUGGUUUAAUUGAUCUGGUACCUAAGACUUCUGGUCAUUUGCUUUAUACAAAUGCUUUUUAAAAGUUUGCUGUGUUUUAAGCAUCUUAUAGUUGUUAUUUUUAAACCCCUUGCUUUGAAAAUGAGUUAGGAGACAUCUUUCCAGAUGAAGCCUAAGGCUCUGGCCAAGACUUGACUUUACCUGGAUGGAGAAUUUACCAAUAAACCCAGAAGUUUUCUGCAUCAAAACAAUAUUCAGGUCAAUUUGACUUGGCAAUUAGUGAAUUAAUAUAGCAGCUGGAUUUUACAGCGGGCUCGGAGAAUUGUUAUCCGGACAUGAUUUUCCAAUCUUCCGUUGAUUUAUCAGCAGUGACAGACUCUGGGAUGAGAGUAUAUAUUUAGUAUAUUUAGUAAUUCAUAUUACAGAUUAUUCAGAUAAGUUUAAUAUUGCAUAAUAUUAAUUAUGAAUCUUCUUAAUCAGUUUUUGAUUUCUGUAAAAGUGUUAUUUCCUAUAUGUGUAUACAUGUGCAAGUGUUUUAAUUUGAUGGUUUUUCAUUGUCAUAACAAAAAAACCAAAUACCUUACUUAAUUACAAAAAAAGGGGGGGAACCAAGGCUAUGCCUCAGAAGUAUAAAAACCUUAUAAAUCUUAAAUUUUUGGAAAAAGUGUAAAGAUCUUAUAUCUAUUGCAAACAAUUCUUGAACAGUCCUUUUUAAACAAGUCUUUUACUAAGCCAGUUCCAUCAAUUAUCAGGUAUUGUUCUAACAGUACUCAAGCAAACUUGAGAGAGAUCUCUUAAGUUCUGGUCAAAAGUUCAGAAGCAAGAAGAUUAAAAAAUCUAUUUCAAUUAAUAAUUUGGAGGAAAGUGUAUGUUUGUGUAUUCACAGGUUCAAAGCAAAAGUAACUUCCUAGCAAAGAACAUGAAAACUCAUCAGCUGCAGAGACGAGCAGACAGCCCAAAGAGCAGAAGAGCGAGCACGCUGACGUGAACUGUAUCGAGACCACAGUUGACAGCAGAACAGCUUAGAUCCAACAUGCAAGAACAGUGAACUUUGGGUUUCAUGUGAAACAGUGAGAAAGUCAAUAUUUUAAAGCCUCAUUUGUUAAAGCGUGGUGUGAACUGUGUCAAGAUUCGGAAUCUUGCAUGAGAGAUAAAGUCCUUGAAUAUGAAGGUGAAUCAAGUAUCACCCUUGAGCUGUAUCAUUUUGUUGGUCACUUUGUGAUGCAAUUUCACCUGCAUCACUUCUUUUAGUUAACUCAAAAGAAAGUAUACCUUAUCUCAGUAAAAAUAGAUUUUAGUAUAACAUCCAAUUUUUCUGUGUUAAAACAGAAUGAAGAUGAGAUAAUGAAUGGUACUCCAAAUCAUGCUCUAUACAAAGAGGCAACAUCUUAGUGUAAUCUUAUAUCAAUCUUAGUCACACCUGAUUGUGAAGAGUUUAACUUUUGAAAUUUUAGAUAGAGAUUUAUGACAACUCAGCUUUCAAUUCAAGUAGCUUCAGCAGAAACUUUAGAGCAAUUAGACAAAUUAAGCUACCGGUCAAGUAAGCAACCUAGAUCUAUUUCUCUAGCUUUGGGUAGUUGGUUAACUGAUGUUCAGAACUGGGGCCAGAGUGCUCUGUGGAACAGAGCAGCAGUUCUGUUGUUGGUGCAUAAGGCAUGAGUGAAAGAAAAAUAACCCUUCUUGAAAAUUAAUCAAAGAAAAGGUUUGGGUUGAUUUUUUUUUUUUUUUUUUUUAAGAGAGGGGCAGAUGUUGGAGUCUGAAAUACAGACUGUGUGCCCUUGCUUUUAAUUUUUAGUUCUAAGAUCCAAGAGAACACUGAAUUUCAUAUUAUAUGAAAUUCAUGAUCAUGUUUUCAUAGUGAUACAUGAAAACAAAUGCUAAAGUUAGAUAAGAAAGGUAGGUGUGUAGAUUAGAAAGUUUCUUAAAUCACUGGGUGAAAAAAGUAGUUUAGAGAACAGGAGACAAUAUGGAGGAUUUAGGGUGUUGUCUCUUGUCCUUCUUCUUUCUUCUUCAUGUUCUUCUCCUAGAGAUUUUUGGGUAGUAGUUAGUAAUUGGAUAGAAAAUGCCGCAGUGCAUCACAGAGGUGAUGGGUCAUUGGGUCAUUAAGAAAAAUAAUAUACGUGUCUAUUGUUAAUUGGGUA